GCGAUCGUCGUGAUGAUCGUGGAGAUCGCGAUCGUCGUGAUCGUGGUGUUGGUGGUGCCACUAAAGAUUCCGGAAAUUGGAGAACAGAACGUCCCGCCCCUCGCGAAGAUAAGGAGAAAAGUGCUCCAAAGCGUGAACCCCAGGAAAAAGAGAACAAAAGUGGUGAAGAUGGAGAAUGGACAAACGUAAGGCGCCGUUAAAAAAAAGAGAAAGUGCUAUGUUUACACGUUUAUCACAUAAUCACAUACCAGAGUAAAAUUUAAUGUUAAAUACAACAGUUAUUGUUGCGAGCCACAAAAAAAUGAUCGCUAAGUAAUACUUUAUAUCAUAUAGCCAUUUGAAUCGUAA